rnacentral:rRNA from 1 species
AAUCAACGCUGGCGGCGUGCCUCAGACAUGCAAGUCGAACGAUUAAGACUUCCUUCGGGAAGUGCAUAAAGUGGCGCACGGGUGAGUAACACGUAAGUAAUCUACCCUCGAGUGGGGAAUAACGUUCGGAACGGACGCUAAUACCGCAUAACGCAGCGGCACCGCAAGGUGACAGUUGUUAAAGGAGCAAUCCGCUUGAGGAGGAGCUUGCGGCAGAUUAGCUAGUUGGUAGGGUAAUGGCUUACCAAGGCUACGAUCUGUAUCCGGUCUAAGAGGACGGUCGGACACACUGACACUGAAUAACGGGUCAGACUCCUACGGGAGGCAGCAGUCGGGAAUUUUGGACAAUGGGCGAAAGCCUGACCCAGCAACGCCGCGUGAAGGAUGAAGUAUUCGGUAUGUAAAC